rnacentral:lncRNA from 10 species
GCCUGUCUUUGGGCUGUUUACCCCAUAAAAGCCCAACUUUGCUAUUCUGAAUCUUGGAUCCUUGCCCAAGAGAUUAGUUAAUGCAUUUGUGUACAUGGCAGUGUUGAAAAACAAAAGUUGCCAGGCAGCAGAAAGACAACCAACCAUCCUCCCACAAACAUGACUUUAGAUCUUGGUUUGAACAAAUCAAGUAGUGUGAUGUGGAACAAAUUCAUACACUAGAAGGAAGUUCCUGGAUGGCCUGGAUUUCUGUCACCCCAGUGCCUGGAGCAGAGCUUGGCACUAAGUGGGAGCUCAUGAUGAGAACCAUGGGGAGAAAGCCUCCUGGCUUCUUACCUUUUGGUGCUCUACUAACAGAAGAGAAACAAUCCUGAGUGUUCACCUGCUGACCUAAUGAUGCCAACAGUGAAGAGUCCAAGCACCAAGAUAUCAAGGAGAACUGAAUCAUGCAAUGUUUAUGGUGAAUGCUGAAUAUCACAGAAUGUCAGGAGUUGUCCAGAAGAGGGUGGGAAGAUGAAGAGUGAAGAUGCGGGAAAUUAUUUGCUGAAAAAAAGUUUGAUAUAAUUCAUUUGUAAUUCCCAAUGUUUGGUACUAUCCUACGAGUAGAAACGUGAAUACUUUCCAUUUCCUCUGUGGCUAUUAAUCUGUUCACCCUUUUUAAUGUCUUAUAAAGUACACUUUGGAAAGUUAUUUUUUUUAGAAAGUCAUACAUUCAUCUACAUUUACAAAUUGACAUGAAGUUGUACAUACUCUCUUACAAAAUUUUAAAAUAUCCAUAUUUGUAGUUCUAACCCUUUUUAUUUUUAAUGUUUGUCUUUUUUUUUUUUUUUUUUUGCUAAGAGUUGUCUCUAUUUUUUCUCUUAUUGAUCAAGUCUGUUGGGUUUUCCUUUUUUAGUCUUUUAUCUAAAGAUUUUACUAAUUCUAUCCUAUCCUUGGCUAAUUCGGAUGCUCUGCUUUUGUCUAGCUCUAAAAUACUUAGUUGAUUUAUUAUUAAUCUUUUUUCUUAUACAUGUAAGACAAUAUUAUUUUUCUUCAAAUAUAUUACUUGCUACAUAAUAGUAACAUAAUACUCUAAUUGUUGCUUAUUUUUAAACAGCUUACAAGUUCAACCUGAUGCCUUUUUUUCCAGAGAUAUGAUUUUAAUCUACUCAGAAGGAUGGAUUAAAAUAUCACAUCCAUUAGAUUUAUUUUUCCUGUCCUUUGGUUGUUCGUUUCUAAUUUCAUUACACCAUAGGAGGUUUCCACUGUGGGCUCCACAGACAAAAUGAAACCCAUGGCACAAACAAGGAAGUUUCCUGACAGUGUAGUUAGCACCAAUGUGAGCCGCUAAACUCACAGCUAAUGAAGGUUAAAAUCUCAAGAAUAAUCUGUGUCACUG